UCGGUGGAUCACUCGGCUCGUGCGUCGAUGAAGAGCGCAGCCAGCUGCGUGAAUUAAUGUUCGGUGGAUCACUCGGCUCGUGUGUCGAUGAAGAGCGCAGCCAACUGUGUGAAUUAAUGUGAACUGCAUACUGCUUUGAACAUCGACAUCUUGAACGCAUAUUGCGGUCACAGGCUUGCCUGUGGCCACGCCUGUCCGAGGGUCG
rnacentral:rRNA from 1 species